rnacentral:misc_RNA from 1 species
AAAAAAAAAAAAAAAACCUUCAAAUCCAGGUUAAGUGAUCUUUCUUUUCCAAAAAAGAAUUUAUCUCCAAAUUGUUCCAAGAAAUGCGGAUGGAGCAACUUUCCACAGGCUUUAUCCUUCAAAACAUGCCCAGCAAAUAUCAAGACUACCAUAUAUGUCCAAGAUAAUGACGUCAUCAAUUGGAUAUUGCUGUUUAUUAUACUUUGAUUUUGUUGUAAUAUAUGCUUUCACUUAUUUUUUUCGCUGUGAUGAAUGAGAUGCAUUGUUAAGGGCUUAUUUUGUCUUAUGUCCAGUGUGGAAUUCACUGUUUAUGCCAAUGUGACAUUUCAAAGCAGAAAAUUUUUCUUUGAAAAAUUUUCAAAUGAAAAUCAUGUCCAAUAAUUUAUAUGAAACAAACAGUUAACGUAAUAUGCAGGCUGACUUUAAGAACGUCAAAUCAAGUGGAAGUGAAUGGCAAGAAUCUGGCAUCAUUUGCAGAUGAUUAUAGAAAACUGGCAAUUGACUGCCUGAAGGUUUUGCGUGUAGAGAUGCAAUUGGAGACUAUUU